GUGAAAAAGUAGCUCCCUUUUAGUUCAAAUGGAUCCAAAAAAUGGGUGCUGCAUUACAGUUCAAGACCAUUGCAUCUACUUGCGGAUGGCUUCCAUUUUGUGCUCCAUGGGUGUUUGUUCUUAUUCCUGAAAGAAAGAAAAUAAUCUAUUGCAUGUGAUAGUUCAUCUGAUCUAUAUGAUUUUUUUACCUAUUUUGCUCCAUUUUUUUCCUUACAGAUCAUGAUCUUGAGAGGCUCGCUGUCGAGACUAAAGGGAAAUUCCAUUUUCCAAUUGUUCUUUUAGUAGUACUGUUUCAGUCCAACUUUGAUAGGAUAAUGAGGAUCAGUGAACUUCCAAUGGUUACUUCUUAUAGUUGUUCUUUGUAUUACUUCAUGGGCGAUAGGGAUAUGCACAAGUCGUUGUCGUCCACAUCGUCGCCACAAGGAAACACCAGCAUCACUGCCAGCUACACGCACAUCUUUGGCACAACCAGUUUCUCAAGUUGUCGCCGCGUGGACGCGUCCCACUCCAACGGCAUGGCUUAUGCUUCAGUGGCAAACAGUGGAGCCCGCUGGAGGAGUCACGGGUCAAGGACCUCCUGCUCAACAGUACAACGUCUUGUUUUGUGGCAAGUCGCUCAAGGAGCUGAGUGCAUGCCGCAGAAAAAACAAUUGUCGGGUUUUUGGUGGCCAAAUAUUAUUGAUAUGGAGAUGGAUAACUAUGUGGAUGUGCUCCUGUUGUUUUUCUGGAAAAAAACAAGAUGCCAUGUUUUACUUUAUGAGCUUUCCAAUUUGCAUACUUUAAAGUUGCUGCUUGCUCCCACCCUUAGAUUGUGCAAUUUCAAUGGGUGUCGUCGUGCAUGUUCGGAAGUAUGCCCUUUGUGCAAAAUGUGUGAAGUUUUGUCAGUAUUUUGUAUUUUCAUUUGGCAGAGGCUUCAUGUGGUCUUAUGGAGCUUUAUAGAUGUACUGUCACUACACUUUUAAGGCCCUACAGUUCAUUAUAUCAUACAUGUGUGGUCGUUCAAUAUGUAUUACAUGAUCAAUUCUUUGAAAAGAAGAACACAAUAGUUCGAUCGAAAACAA
rnacentral:rRNA from 1 species